rnacentral:rRNA from 1 species
UACGUAGGGUGCAAGCGUUGUCCGGAAUUAUUGGGCGUAAAGAGCUCGUAGGCGGUUUGUUGCGUCGGCUGUGAAAUCCCGCGGCUCAACUGCGGGUCUGCAGUCGAUACGGGCAGGCUAGAGUUCGGUAGGGGAGACUGGAAUUCCUGGUGUAGCGGUGAAAUGCGCAGAUAUCAGGAGGAACACCGGUGGCGAAGGCGGGUCUCUGGGCCGAUACUGACGCUGAGGAGCGAAAGCGUGGGGAGCGAACAGG